GCUCACGUCCGGCUGAAAAACUACAGCUCAGCCGAAUUUUACUACCAGCAGACACAGAAGGCUUUUGCAGAGACAGGUGACUCUUCUGGGGAAGCCCUCACCUGCGAAGCCCUGGGGGCGACUCACUUCUCCCAGGGCCACCUGGACCAGGCCGUGGGUUAUUACAAGCAAGCCCUGAAGCUGUUUGGAAAGGCAAAGGAAACACCUGAAGUCCACCAGGAACAAAUUCGGGAGAAGCUGGCAGCUAUCGCCCAACUGUCUAGCAGCUGACACACACACACACACACGGUGUCCCAUUUCCCCUGCUGAUGGCUUGGUGGAUUA